rnacentral:rRNA from 1 species
GGCGAACGGGUGAGUAACACGUGGGUGAUCUGCCUUGCACUUCGGGAUAAGCCUGGGAAACUGGGUCUAAUACCGGAUAGGAGCCAUUUUUAGUGUGAUGGUUGGAAAGUUUUUCGGUGUAGGAUGAGCUCGCGGCCUAUCAGCUUGUUGGUGGGGUAAUGGCCUACCAAGGCGGCGACGGGUAGCCGGCCUGAGAGGGUGGACGGCCACAUUGGGACUGAGAUACGGCCCAG